GAUGAAGAACGCAGUGAAAUGCGAUAAGUAAUGUGAAUUGCAGAAUUCCGUGAAUCAUCGAAUCUUUAAACGCACAUUGCGCCCCCUGGCAUUCCGGGGGGCAUGCCUGUCCGAGCGUCAUUUCUGCCCUCCAGCCCGGCUGGGUGUUGGGCGCUGUCCCCCCGGGGACACGCCCCAAAGGCAGUGGCGGCGCCGCGUCGGGUCCUCGAGCGUAUGGGGCUUUGUCACCCGCUCGGGACGGACUCGUCGGCGCUGGUCUUCCUCCAGGCGACCCUUCGGGGCUCGUCUUCCUUCGGUUGACCUCGGAUCAGGUAGGGUUACCCGCUGAACUUAAGCAUAUCAAUAAGCGGAGGA
rnacentral:misc_RNA from 1 species